UUGAGCGAUUUACUUCGGUAAAGAGCGGCGGACGGGUGAGUAACGCGUGGGUAACCUACCCUGUACACACGGAUAACAUACCGAAAGGUAUGCUAAUACGGGAUAACAUAUUUGAGAGGCAUCUCUUAAAUAUCAAAGGUGAGCCAGUACAGGAUGGACCCGCGUCUGAUUAGCUAGUUGGUAAGGUAACGGCUUACCAAGGCGACGAUCAGUAGCCGACCUGAGAGGGUGAUCGGCCACAUUGGAACUGAGACA
rnacentral:rRNA from 1 species